GCCGGCCCGGGGGAGGCCCUGCCCGCUGCGGCCGCAGGGCUUGCGGGGCCAGGGCGAAGCCGCGGGCGGUGAGCUGCCCUGAAUCUCUGCAUCUCUGCAUGCUGCACCGCUUCAGGUGAGGGAUCUGCACAUCACCACUGCACAGCCAGGAGGUGCUCCCUGCCAGCACACUGGAGGCAGCUGAUUCUCUGGCUUGAUGGAGGGCCACCAUCUGCAGGAGAGGCCAGACCAAGACUGCUGCUGCAGUAAAUGAAUGAACACACAGUCUUGAAUCCUUUCCAGAUCCUUGGGAUUAAAUUCUCAUCAAGCCCAGCCUCUGCCAAGACCCAGCAGCAUGAGUGGGACUGCAGCCUGAAUGUGAGAUGAGGCUCAGCCACUGCUGCAGGGGUUCUAAAGCGGCAAGAGAUCAGCACUGAGCAUGCACCAAGUGAUGUGGGAAGAGACUUGGGAUGGAUGAGGGGUGGCAGGUUUACACCCUGGCCUUCUGGGUGACUCAGCUUCUGAGAAUGAAGCUGUACAAAGGCUGCUGUUCACUCUGCCUCCCCCACCCCCCUGAGAAGAAAGAUGGUCUGGUUUCAGAGAUGGGAGUGCUCAGAAAGUCAAAGGCUUAUUAAUAGCUCACUGCCUCUUUUUAAUCUAUUCAGAAGCUGUACA